UGGGAAGAAGGCCCUCCGGCUAUGAAGCGGUGUUUGGGGAGAGGAGGAAGGAGCGGUUCUGUCAGAAGAAGUAUAAACUAAGUACGUACCAGCAGGCACAGUAUCACGUAGGAGACGAACGUUAUCCGGAUUUACUGGGCGUAAAGCGCGUGUAGGUAGAUUUGGUAAGUAGGGCGUGAAAGCUCCUGGCUCAUCGGGGAGAGGCCGUUCUAAACUGCCGAACUAGAGGAUGGUAGAGGGAGGUGGAAUUCCGGGUGUAGCGGUGGAAUGCGCAGAUAUCCGGAGGAACACCAGUGGCGAAAGCGGCCUCCUGGACCAUUCCUGACACUCAGACGCGAAAGCUAGGGUAGCAAACGGGAUUAGAGACCCCGGUAGUCCUAGCCCUAAACGAUGUAGACUAGGCGUCGGUGGUUUAAACGCCAUCGGUGUCCAAGCUAACGCGAUAAGUCUACCGCCCGGGGACUACGGCCGCAAGGUUAAAACUCAAAGGAAUUGACGGGUCCCCGCACAAGCAGCGGAGCGUGUGGUUUAAUUCGUUGCUACACGAAGAACCUUACCUGGGUUUGACAUAGCAGUGGUAGGGAAGCGAAAGCAGACCGACCCUUCGGGGAGCUGUUACAGGUGUUGCAUGGCUGUCGUCAGCUCGUGUCGUGAGAUGUUCGGUUAAGUCCGCUAACGAGCGCAACCCUCGCUGUGUGUUACAAGUGUCACACGGUACUGCCGGUAUUAAGUCGGAGGAAGGUGGGGAUGACGUCAAGUCAGCAUGACCUUUAUAUCCAGGGCUACACACACGCUACAAUGGUCAGUACAAUAGGUUGCCAAGCCGCGAGGCGGAGCCAAUCCUAAAAAGCUGGCCUCAGUUCAGAUUGCAGUCUGCAACUCGACUGCAUGAAGUUGGAGUUGCUAGUAACCGCAGGUCAGCUAUACUGCGGUGAAUACGUUCCCGGGGAUUGCACACACCGCCCGUCAAG
rnacentral:rRNA from 1 species